rnacentral:sRNA from 1 species
GCCAGGUUUGGUGGUACACAUCUGUAGUCCCAGCUACUCAGGAAGCUGAGGCAGGAGGACUGCUUGAGCCCAGGAGUUCUACAUCAGCCUGAAACAAAGCAGGACCCUCCACUCUU